rnacentral:tRNA from 1 species
GCCUGGGUGGCUCAGUCAGUUAAGCAUCUGACUUCGGCUCAGGUCAUGACCUCACGGUUUGUGAGUUCGAGCCCCACAUCAGGCU